ensembl:lncRNA novel transcript
GGGGAGGCCUCCCUGCACCUCCAGAACACCCGUGCAAGGACCCGGACAGUACCGUGUAGCGUGAGACCUUCUGCCACAGAGGCCCCUGCUGCCCAUCACCGCCUGUUUCUGGGUGUCGAUUUCCUGCCUGGACCCAGACAAGGACAUGGAUAUGAAGGGAAGAAGGACUCAGCUCCGUGGACCCCCGCCCCCCACCGCCACUGCGUGGCCACGCUGGCCUCGACCGUGCUGACCAGAGCCAGCAGGGGUCAGGAUUCACCCAGGAAUGACGGGCCCGAGGCCGCUAGGGUUCCAGUGCCCGACAGAAGACAGAGUUCUGCACGCCGGCCAGUGAACACAGACCAGAAGCAGUAAGGGAACAGGAAGCUGGGGGUAAUGGGCACGAAGUCAGAGACAGAGAUGCCCGUGGGUUCCGCUUUCAUUGUUGAAAAUGCUUCUGACUUCCAUUUCCCUGACCUCAUCUCUGCCCCAGCACCAGAGGCGCCCCAAAAUUAAUGCACACCCCAAACCAAUGCUCCUUCCACCAGGUGCCGCUCCAGCUUUCUGCAUCCAAGGAAACAGCUCCAUGAUUCAGGCUUACACCCUCGGGUGCCCUUCCCUGCUGUUUCUCUUGCCUCCCACAUCCCAGCCAUCAGCAAAUGCUGACAAUUCUACCUUCAGAAUUGUUCCCAGGCCAGGCACGGUGGCUCACGCCUGAAAUCCCAGUGCUUUGGGAGGCCGAGGCAGGAGGAUGGCUUGAGCCCAAGAGUUCAAGGCCAGCCUGGGCAACAUAGAGAGACCCCCUUCUCUGGAAAACAACAGAAUUGAUCCUGAAGCUUUUAAGGAACAAACAGCACCAAUCCUACCCAAACUCUUUCAGAAACUAGAGGAGGAAGGAACACUUCCCAAUGUGUUUUAUGAGGCCAGCGUAACCAAAACACAUUACUGAAAAUCAAAGGCCAAUAUCCCUCAUGAAUAUCGAUGCACAAAUCCUUAAUAUUAACAAAUUGAAUCCAGCUGUCUAUAAAAGGGAUUCUCCAUCAUGACCACCAAGUGGGGUUUAUCCCAGGAAUGCAAGGUUGGUUUAAUACCCAAGAAUCAAUGUGAUUAACCACAUUAGCAUAAGAGAGGAAAACCAUAUGAUCAUCUCAGUAGAUGCAGAAAAUUCAGCACUCACUUGGACAAAAUUCAGCAUUCAUGCAGAUUAAAAACACGCAACUAGGAAUAGAAUGGCAUAUCCUCAACC